rnacentral:sRNA from 1 species
UAUGAAUGGAGUCUGUACCGAAACAAGAC